rnacentral:lncRNA from 1 species
CCGUGUUCAGGAUUCAUCACCAAGAAUCUCUUUACGUAGCGGAGAACCCUGCAAAUGGAUGAGAAACUUGGUCGUUGAUAUGGAUCUGUAUGCCAACACUUCUUUGUCAAGCUUGUCACAUAUUUUGGUGAGUGAAAUGGGAAUAAUGGCCUCUCUCCUGCCCUUAUAUUUCUACUCAUUUUAUCUCCUUGUAGAUGGCUAUCUUCAAAGGGAACUUUCCCUGUUAAUACCUCAAAACAUAUCAUCCCAAAACUGUACACAUCAGACUUCUCAGUAUACUUGAUGCUCCCUCCAUCCCCCGACUGCUCUUGUUCAGCUAGGACUUCUGGGGCAAACCAAAUGAACGGGAGCGUCCCAUUAUUUUGACUCACAUGAGCUUUCUGAGGAAGCUUGAUAGAACAUGAUGAGCCAAAUCCACAAACCUUUGCAUGUAAGUACCCUUCUGUAGUUAUGUUCCUCGCCUUGACAAGGAUGUUGGAAGGACUCAGUUCACCAUGAUAUACUUUCUUUGAGUGGAGGUAUUCCAUGCCCCUUGCAAUCUGAAGCAGUAAAUCAAUUGCAACUGGAAGAGAAAAUGGUACGCGCUUUCUUGGUCCACAGAUCUCUUUGAUGUAACUAGAUAAAUCUUUGUUCAUAAGUUCCAUGAUUAAGAAACAUUCUCUCUUUUCUUCAUCAGUGAAACCGCAGGAGAUGUGCAUUAUAUUUGGAUGCGAGAGACUCAGUUCUUGAGUGAUCUCUGGAAUCAGGGGCUUAAUGUCCCCAAACAAAUGCCUUAAACAGAAGGUUUCCCCCAACCAUUGGAUCUCCUUGUAUUGGCUUCCAC